rnacentral:rRNA from 1 species
GUAGGUGGCAAGCGUUGUCCGGAAUUAUUGGGCGUAAAGCGCGCGCAGGCGGUCCUUUAAGUCUGAUGUGAAAGCCCACGGCUCAACCGUGGAGGGUCAUUGGAAACUGGGGGACUUGAGUACAGAAGAGGAAAGCGGAAUUCCACGUGUAGCGGUGAAAUGCGUAGAGAUGUGGAGGAACACCAGUGGCGAAGGCGGCUUUCUGGUCUGUAGCUGACGCUGAGGCGCGAAAGCGUGGGGAGCAAACAGGAUUAGAUACCCUGGUAGUCCACGCCGUAAACGAUGAGUGCUAAGUGUUAGGGGGUUUCCGCCCCCCUUAGUGCUGCAGCUAACGCAUUAAGCACUCCGCCUGGGAGUACGGCCGCAAGGCUG